UUUUUAGUGUGCCCCUUCGAGUCGACGUUGGACACAUGUUUACAAACUGAAAAUAGAAUGAUUUGUGAAGUUGAACAUUUUCUGACAAAGAAUCCGUUUGUAGACAUGUACACUCAUUUAAUCUGCAGCUACGAAGUACUUUUUCACUUCUCUGGAACAUUAUUCUAAGCAGAAUUAUCCCGAUUCAUAUAUUCUAAGAAUCUUGUGUGAAUUGUUUACGAGGAAAUUCUGACUGUCACAUUAACAAGGAUGAACACUCUUGACUCUGCUUCGGAUUCGGAUCAUCAUAUCAUUCCCCAGUGAUAAUUGUAUCGAGUGAUGAAAGAGCUGACGGCGACAUUUUAAUGUAUGAUUGGCUUGGACCAUUGGAAUGAAGUCAUUUCAUGGUGCCACCACUUGGGAUGGUAUUAGCUGCAAAUAUAGACUUGUACUCAGCACUUAUUGCCUUUAAGAAGUAUGAGAUCCAUUUUGUGCUAACACCUACCGUGACACAGAAUCUUGGUUUAUGCAGUCUCAUAGGAGUAACCUGUCUAAAGCAUUUAGCAAUGGGAUUGGAACCUGCGACGUGUGACUCAUCUGAAUACUGAAUUUUGAUACCAAGCAUGACCAUGAUUUGCCAGAAGAUCAUCUGUUUGGAUGUGACAUGGAAUAAACAGCAUAGUGAAAAUAAGUCAAGUUUUGGUUUGUGAAGACAAUUUUUAAACACACUGUGUAUCAUUUUUAAAUUUUGAUUUGACAACAUAAAUCCACAAAUAUGAACAUAUCAAUUGCUCUCAGUUUUUCAAGUGAAAUAGUUUUUGUAACAGAAAUACAUGUACCAGUAAUUACAUUGGAAUAAAUGUUAUUUUUAAAUAUAAUAAUAUUUUGUUUGUGUAGCAUGUUGACCUCUUUAUUAAGGUCUUCCCUUUCAAAGUUUAGACUUACUUAUUCUAAUGAUUAAGAUAGAUCCUCUGUCUUCAGCAGGAAUAUAAGAUCUUGUAAUACAUGUAUGUGUAUUUUUUACAGUAUAAUGUAAAAAAAAUUGUUAUUUUGGCACAUACAACUAAUUAAAGGCAUAAACAUGUGUAUGAUUCCAAGGAAUUCAGUACAUAGGGCAUGUACAUGUAGUUUUCUAAAACAAGAUUGAAGAGAUGUCCAGUCGCAUUUCAAUGUCAACUGCAAAACUGUGCCUGUUGCAUACUUAUUAGCCCAUCUGAGCUAAAGGAACCAGUAAAUUUUUUUAAAAACAUA